GGUUACCUGCUGGAGGUAAGAGAGAACACGAAAAGUUUAAAGGAAGGAAUUCUCUUCUGGUCAGGUUCCUAUAGAAACAUGGAGAUCAAACUGAAGAGCCAAACUGUAAUGUGUCUCUGAAGCCACUGCUCCUUCCAUUGUUCCAUACUGUGACCUGGGCACACAAGAGGUCUGCCACAGGACUUUAAAAUACCACCAGCAAACUGGUGCGAGAGACAACGUCUUCUUGAGAGCAUUCGGCUCAACAGAGCCCACGAGUCACAGCUGACCUACAUUCAAAGAGCACAUUCAUGAAAGAUGAGUAAGAAAACAUUUGUCUCUCAGGCCACGGAGACGGGGCUGAUAGUCACAGUUAGUCAUUUGGAUCACUCUAUGGUUCUCCACAGCAGCCAAGUGCCUAGAAGACUUUUUUUAGAUUCGUAUUUGAGCGCCAGGGGUUAGUUGACGAGACAAACAGGCAGGUGCACGCUUGGCGUCUUCUCGGUGUGAACCAGACGUGCAGGACAGCAAACGCAGACACCCGCCUGACAUCUCUGUGCUCUGUUCGUGGGUCGAGUGCAUAAUAAGUUCUACACUCGAGGCUUUCUUGUUUCAAAGGUACCUCAAUUUUCCAACAUGUCCCUACUGUCCCUUAAACCUACAACAGAACUGAGCGGAAGUGAUUUUCUGAAGAAUACCUUGUCCUUGCUGCUAUUUCACAGUCUCUACGAGAGCAGCAAGCCGAAGAAAGUGACUACUACUUCAGCCCUGGGUCCUAGGAGACUGUGACGGUUAUGGAGCUAAUCCGUAACAGCGGCGCUGAGUUCAGCCUCAGGAAAUGAAUAAAUGUUCUUUUGUGGUU